rnacentral:rRNA from 1 species
GAACUAUAGAGUUUGAUCCUGGCUCAGAUUGAACGCUGGCGGCAUGCCUUACACAUGCAAGUCGAACGGCAGCACGGGAGCAAUCCUGGUGGCGAGUGGCGAAC